AAUAUAAAAAUAGAGCAGGCGAUACACCUAAUAAGGUGUGUGGGGCUGGGCCGACGAAAGUUGGCAACAGGUGAAAAAUACCUGUGGGACUAUA
rnacentral:ncRNA from 17 species